rnacentral:rRNA from 1 species
AUUGAACGCUGGCGGCAGGCCUAACACAUGCAAGUCGAGCGGAUGAAGGGAGCUUGCUCCUGGAUUCAGCGGCGGACGGGUGAGUAAUGCCUAGGAAUCUGCCUGGUAGUGGGGGAUAACGUCCGGAAACGGGCGCUAAUACCGCAUACGUCCUGAGGGAGAAAGUGGGGGAUCUUCGGACCUCACGCUAUCAGAUGAGCCUAGGUCGGAUUAGCUAGUUGGUGGGGUAAAGGCCUACCAAGGCGACGAUCCGUAACUGGUCUGAGAGGAUGAUCAGUCACACUGGAAGUGAGACAGCGUCCAGACUCCUACGGGAGGCAGCAGUGGGCAAUAUUGGGCAAUGGGGGAAAGCCUGAUCCAGCCAUGGCGCGUGUGUGAAGAAGGUCUUCCGAUUGUAAAGCACUUUAAGUUGGGGGGAAGGGCAGUAAGUUAAUACCUUGCUUUUUUGACGGUACCAACAGAAUAAGCACCGGCUAACUUCGUG